rnacentral:rRNA from 1 species
AUACGUAGGUGACAAGCGUUAUCCGGAUUUACUGGGCGUAAAGGGCGUGUAGGCGGUCUUGCAAGUCAGAAGUGAAAUUCCUGAGCUCAACUCGGGCGCUGCUUCUGAAACUGCAGGACUUGAGUGCUGGAGGGGAUAGCGGAAUUCCUAGUGGAGCGGUAAAAUGCGCAGAUAUUAGGAAGAACACCGGAGGCGAAGGCGGCUACCUGGACAGUAACUGACGCUGAGGCGCGAAAGCGUGGGGAGAAAACAGGAUUAGAUACCCGGAUAGUCCACGCCGUAAACGAUGAAUACUAGGUGUAGGGGGUAUCGACUCCCUCUGUGCCGCAGUUAACACAAUAAGUAUUCCGCCUGGGGAGUACGGCCGCAAGGUUGAAACUCAAAUGAAUUGACGGGG